rnacentral:rRNA from 1 species
UUAGUGGCGGACGGGUGAGUAACGCGUGGAUAACCUGCCGUAUACACGGGGGAUAACACUUAGAAAUAGGUGCUAAUACCGCAUAAGCGCACGGUUCCGCAUGGAACAGUGUGAAAAACUCCGGUGGUAUACGAUGGAUCCGCGUCUGAUUAGCCAGUUGGCGGGGUAACGGCCCACCAAAGCGACGAUCAGUAGCCGGCCUGAGAGGGUGAACGGCCACAUUGGGACUGAGACACGGCCCAAACUCCUACGGGAGGCAGCAG